UACGUAGGGUGCAAGCGUUAUCCGGAAUUAUUGGGCGUAAAGAGCUCGUAGGCGGUUUGUCGCGUCUGCUGUGAAAACCGGAGGCUCAACCUCCGGCCUGCAGUGGGUACGGGCAAACUAGAGUGCGGUAGGGGAGAUUGGAAUUCCUGGUGUAGCGGUGGAAUGCGCAGAUAUCAGGAGGAACACCGGUGGCGAAGGCGGGUCUCUGGGCCGAUACUGACGCUGAGGAGCGAAAGCAUGGGGAGCGAACAGG
rnacentral:rRNA from 1 species